rnacentral:tRNA from 1 species
GGGGUUGUGGCUCAGUGGUAGAGCACUUGCCUAGCACAUGUGAGGCACUGGGUUUGAUUCUCAGCACCACUU